rnacentral:snRNA from 1 species
GGAAGUGAGGGAGAUCUGGCUGCAACAUCUGUCGCCCUGGCUGGCCAGGACAAGGUCCCCUUCCUUGAUGCUCCAAGAGUGUUCCUCCCAAAGCUGUGAGCUAGGAUGGAGAGGACAUUUAGCCCUGAUACAAGAGGACCCUUCUUUGAUCAAGGGUAUAGAAGUAGCUGCAUUGCCAUGCUAAAACCUUCAAACAAGCUUUCCAAACUACUUUAACCACAAUCUCACAUUGUAUACAAAGACUAGUCAAAGUUGAUCAGAGAAUUAAGUAGAAAAUAUAACAUUAUACAAUUUCUGGACAAAGAAAAGUU